CUUUAUUGAUAUUCCGGGGACAAUCUCCAGGAGACUCCCCUGGGAACUCAUUCGAGUGGGUCUGUAUGGAAAAUGGAUAGAAUAUCUGAAUAACUUUGCAGAAAUCAAUUGUUUGAACAAGCUCAUUAAUUUCAUCAUCAUAGUAAUCAUGACUGAAGACAAGCAGCACGUUCUCGAUUCCUUUGGCUUGAGCAAGACUUACUAUCAUGUGACGUAGGUACAUUAUCCUGGUUGUUAAUUGCGAUAUCUUGAGAUUUGUGAGCAGCUAAAUAGGUGGUGUCGUCAGCAAAUUUUCCUAAUAAAGCAUCCCUAGUAGGUUUGGGGAUAUCUGAGGUAAAUAUUAAAUAUAGUAGAGGCCCAAGAACUGAUCCCUGUGGAACUCCUGCAAGGAUCUGGCAUCUAGAUGAGAGAGCCUCCCCCACUCUUACUUGAUGGAACCAUAUUAAAGACGCUAAUGGAAUCAGAUACGGUAUCAUUGUCGGCGGAGGAGGAGCCUUUGUCAGCCUUUGAGUUGGCGAUGUGGGUGAAGUAGAGCUGGAGCCAAAAGAAGAGCACCAGGAAGAGGAACAGCAGCGGGCGCAGACACGUUGACGAGCGACGACGAGCAAGCUGAGAAGUGACCGGAAUCCGAAUGCUUCGACCAUUCACUGUGCCAAGAAAAAAAAGAAAAAAAAAAUUAAGUGACAUUUGGAACUUGCAAUUGAUGAAAUUUGAUUGAUUUUGAGAGAAAAAAAGAAGAAAGAGAGAAAAAAAUCUACUCUUUUAAUUUUAAGCAAUAAAACAUGUACUCUGGUCAUCA